AUUGAACGCUGGCGGCAUGCCUUACACAUGCAAGUCGAACGGCAGCGCGGGGCAACCUGGCGGCGAGUGGCGAACGGGUGAGUAAUAUAUCGGAACAUACCCUAGAGUGGGGGAUAACGUAGCGAAAGUUACGCUAAUACCGCAUACGCACUAAGGUGGAAAGUGGGGGAUCUUCGGACCUCAUGCUCAUGGAGUGGCCGAUAUCUGAUUAGCUAGUUGGUGAGGUAAAGGCUCACCAAGGCAACGAUCAGUAGCUGGUUUGAGAGAACGACCAGCCACACUGGAACUGAGACACGGUCCAGACUCCUACGGGAGGCAGCAGUGGGGAAUUUUGGGACAAUGGGGGCAACCCUGAUCCAGCAAUGCCGCGUGAGUGAAGAAGGCC
rnacentral:rRNA from 1 species